AAAAAGAAAUAUUACUAAAUCUAUAUUUUUACUGCUUGAUUUUUUUAAGACUCCUUGGGCUUCAAAUCGCUACCUGGAAAACUGCCGUGGUUGGAGCUGCAGUAGGCUGUUGGAUAAAUCUGUCCCAUCCUCGUCGCUUCAUCUGGGAUUCUCAAAGAUAUUCACACAUCAGAGAAGGGAUGUAGUACUUCCCCUGAAGGAGGAGAGCAAGAUGAUGUGGCCAACUAGGAACUACAGAACUGAUCAUGUUUGUUAAAUCUUGGCAGCAAGAGAAGAUGCAUCCUCAGGAAAUCACAAACCUCUCAGGACGUGUUAUUUUCCAUCAGCAGUAAGCAGCACUGAUGUGUGCAGUUCUGGGAGGACAGAGCUGAAACAAGACAAGAAGAAAAGCUGCAGAAGUAAAAUUGCCUCUAAAGCUCCUUUAAAAUGCACAGGACAGGAGGGAACAAGUGGACAUUGAUUAUGAUGAAACCUUUUGCUUCCUGUACUGUUUGGCAUUCCUUAAUAUGUCCUGAUGGCUUUGAUUUCCUCUCCUCCAUUGCAGAAUCAAAGAAUGCUGCACCAACACAAUGCUGUCCACAUCUGGAUGCCACAGGGAAAAUGAUCUGA
ensembl:lncRNA